rnacentral:tRNA from 1 species
GCCUGGGUGGCUCAGUUGGUUGAGCAUCUGACUUUAGCUCAGGUCAUGAUCUUGCUGUUCCUGAGUUCAAGUCUCAUGUCAGGCU